rnacentral:lncRNA from 1 species
GAUGUGUGUAUAUAGAUACAUACACAUAUUAUGGAAUGGCUUAAUGAAAAUAUUUAACAUGUGCUACUUCACUUUGUUUUUUUUUUUUUAAAUAUUUAUUUGUUUAUUUAUUUUUUUAGUUCUCGGCGGACACAACAUCUCUGUAUGUGGUGCUGAGGAUCGAACCCGGGCCGCACGCAUGCCAGGCGAGCGCGCUACCGCUUGAGCCACAUCCCCAGCCCUUCACUUUGUUUUUUUGGUGAUAAAUACACUUAAAAUUACUCUCUUCACAAUUUUUAAAAAAUUAUUUUUAUUAGUUAUUGAUGGACCUUUAUUUAUUUGUUUAAAUGUGAUGCUGAGAAUCGAAACAAGUGCCUCACACAUGCUAGGCAAGUGCUCUAUCACUGAGCCACAACCCCAGCCCAGAUACAAUAUAUUGUUAUUAACUGUAGUUGCCAUUAUGUACAAUAUAUCUUUUGAACUUAUUCCUCCUAUAACUGAAAUUUUGGGACCAACAUUUCCUCAAUACCUAAACUCCUAGUCUCUGGGAUCCACCAUUUUGUUCUAUUUCUGUGUUCUGUGUUAUUUUUUUUCCCUUAAAUUCAGCAUAUUAUAGAAUAUUGUGCUAUUAUCUUUCUAUGCCUGGGUUAUUUUACUUAACACACUGGCUUUCAUAUUCAUCCAAAUGACAGGAUUUUCUGCUUUUUAAAGAUGAAUAGCAGGGUUUGGGGUUGUGGCUCAGUGGUAGUGUACUUGCCUAGCACGUGUGAGGCACUGGUUCGAUUCAGCACCAUAUAUAAAUACAUGAAUAAAAUAAAAGUUCAUCAACAACUAAAAAAAAAAAAGACAAAUAGUAUUCCAUUGUAAAUAUAUACCACAUUUUCUUUACUUAUCUGUUAAUGGACACAAAGUUGUUUCCUUUUCUUGGCUAUUGUUAAUAAUGCUGUGGUGAACAUGGGAGUGUAGGUAUCUCUUUGACAGACUGGUUUCAUUUCUCUUGGAUAUACACUCAGUAGUGGGAUUGCUGGAUCACAUAAUAUAUCUAUUUUUUAACUUUUUGAGAUCCUUCCUCCUUACUGUUUUCCAUUAUGAUCAUACCAAACUGCAUUUCCACCAACAGUGUACACAUUUCCCUUUUCUCUACAUCCUUGACAACACUUGUUAUUCAAUAAUAGCCAUUCUAACAACUGUGAGGUGAUAUUGGUUUUAAUUUGCAUUUCUCUGAUGAUUAGUAAUGGAGAGCAUUUUUUUUCAUAUACCCUGUUGUUUAUUUGUAUGUUUUCUUUUGAGAAAUGUCUUUAGAUCCUUUGGCUUUUUUCUUUCUUUCCUUUUUGUGUGGUGCCGGGGAUCAACCUGAGUCCUUUCCCCAUUUUAAAAAUUGCACUGUUUAUUUUACCAUUGUGUUGAAUUCCUUAUGUAUAUUUUUAUAUUAUCUCUUACCAGAUGUAUAGUUUGCAAAUAAAUUCUCC